AGUGAACGCUGGCGGUAGGCCUAACACAUGCAAGUCGAACGGCAGCACAGUAAGAGCUUGCUCUUACGGGUGGCGAGUGGCGGACGAGUGAGGAAUACAUCGGAAUCUACUUUUUCGUGGGGGAUAACGUAGGGAAACUUACGCUAAUACCGCAUACGACCUACGGGUGAAAGCAGGGGAGCUUCGGACCUUGCGCGAUUGACUGAGCCGAUGUCGGAUUAGCUAGUUGGCGGGGUAAAGGCCCACCAAGGCGACGAUCCGUAGCUGGUCUGAGAGGAUGAUCAGCCACACUGGAACUGAGACACGGUCCAGACUCCUACGGGAGGCAGCAGUGGGGAAUAUUGGACAAUGGGCGCAAGCCUGAUCCAGCCAUACCGCGUGGGUGAAGAAGGCCUUCGGGUUGUAAAGCCCUUUUGUUGGGAAAGAAAAGCAGCAGGUUAAUACCCCGCUGUUCUGACGGUACCCAAAGAAUAAGCACCGGCUAACUUCGUG
rnacentral:rRNA from 1 species